GCCCAGGUGGCUCAGUCAGUUAAGCUUCUGACUCUGAUCUCAGCUCAAGUCUUGAUCUGAAGGUCAUGAGUUCAAGUCUCAUGUUGGGCU
rnacentral:tRNA from 1 species